rnacentral:rRNA from 1 species
GACGAACGCUGGCGGCGUGCUUAACACAUGCAAGUCGAACGGAAAGGCCCCUUCGGGGGUACUCGAGUGGCGAACGGGUGAGUAACACGUGGGUGAUCUGCCCUGCACUUUGGGAUAAGCCUGGGAAACUGGGUCUAAUACCGGAUAGGACUACGCUUCGCAUGGGGUGUGGUGGAAAGCUUUUGCGGUGUGGGAUGGGCCCGCGGCCUAUCAGCUUGUUGGUGGGGUGAUGGCCUACCAAGGCGACGACGGGUAGCCGGCCUGAGAGGGUGUCCGGCCACACUGGGACUGAGAUACGGCCCAGACUCCUACGGGAGGCAGCAGUGGGGAAUAUUGCACAAUGGGCGCAAGCCUGAUGCAGCGACGCCGCGUGGGGGAUGACGGCCUUCGGGUUGUAAACCUCUUUCAGUAGGGACGAAGCGCAAGUGACGGUACCUACAGAAGAAGCACCGGCCAACUACGUGCCAGCAGCCGCGGUAAUACGUAGGGUGCGAGCGUUGUCCGGAAUUACUGGGCGUAAAGAGCUCGUAGGUGGUUUGUCGCGUUGUUCGUGAAAACUCACAGCUUAACUGUGGGCGUGCGGGCGAUACGGGCAGACUGGAGUACUGCAGGGGAGACUGGAAUUCCUGGUGUAGCGGUGGAAUGCGCAGAUAUCAGGAGGAACACCGGUGGCGAAGGCGGGUCUCUGGGCAGUAACUGACGCUGAGGAGCGAAAGCGUGGGGAGCGAACAGGAUUAGAUACCCUGGUAGUCCACGCCGUAAACGGUGGGUACUAGGUGUGGGUUUCCUUCCUUGGGAUCCGUGCCGUAGCUAACGCAUUAAGUACCCCGCCUGGGGAGUACGGCCGCAAGGCUAAAACUCAAAGGAAUUGACGGGGGCCCGCACAAGCGGCGGAGCAUGUGGAUUAAUUCGAUGCAACGCGAAGAACCUUACCUGGGUUUGACAUGCACAGGACGCGUCUAGAGAUAGGCGUUCCCUUGUGGCCUGUGUGCAGGUGGUGCAUGGCUGUCGUCAGCUCGUGUCGUGAGAUGUUGGGUUAAGUCCCGCAACGAGCGCAACCCUUGUUCCAUGUUGCCAGCGCGUUAUGGCGGGGACUCAUGGGAGACUGCCGGGGUCAACUCGGAGGAAGGUGGGGAUGACGUCAAGUCAUCAUGCCCCUUAUGUCCAGGGCUUCACACAUGCUACAAUGGCCGGUACAAAGGGCUGCGAUACCGUGAGGUUAAGCGAAUCCUUUUAAAGCCGGUCUCAGUUCGGAUCGGGGUCUGCAACUCGACCCCGUGAAGUCGGAGUCGCUAGUAAUCGCAGAUCAGCAACGCUGCGGUGAAUACGUUCCCGGGCCUUGUACACACCGCCCGUCACGUCAUGAAAGUCGGUAACACCCGAAGCCGGUGGCCUAACCCUUGUGGAGGGAGCCGUCGAAGGUGGGAUCGGCGAUUGGGACG